rnacentral:rRNA from 1 species
UUAUAAUGAACAAUGAGUAAUGAAUAAUGAAUAAUAAAAAAAGAAAAUUUUUGCUUUGCAAAAAUUAUAUUAAUCAUUAAUCAUUCGUCAUUAAUCAUUAAAGUGACGAGCGUAGCGAGGAGCGAUCGGGGUUGUAGGACUCCAAUAUCUGUAUUGUCUGAUUAGAAGAAGACUCUGGAAAGGGUCGCCACAGAGCGUGACAGCCGCGUAUUCGAAAAUCAUUCAAUAUGGUAGGAGCAUCCUGAGUAGGAUCGGACACGAGAAAUCCGGUUUGAAGCAGGGAGGACCACCUUCCAAGGCUAAAAAGAAUACCAGAUCGAUAGUGAACAAGUACCGUGAGGGAAAGGUGAAAAGAACCCCGAGAAGGGGAGUGAAAUAGACGUGAAAUUGUAUACUUUCAAGGAGUGGGAGGGUGUUUCUCACUGCGUUCGAAAUUAAGUUAUUAGUUAGUAGUCGUUAGUUAAUAGUUCGGAAGGAAUUUUUAAAAAGAUUUUUUUUUACUAUAAACUGUAAACUAUAAACUGUAGACUUCCGCAUCGAGCACAGCGAGAAGCGCCUAACCGCGUGCCUUUUGUAGAAUGAGCCAACGAGUUAGUCAUGUAUGGCAGGUUAAGGGAGAUUCACCCGGAGCCACAGCGAAAGCGAGUCCGAUAAGGGCGUUUGUCAUAUGUGCUAGACCCGAAACCGUGUGAGCGAGCCAUGGGCAGGUUGAACCCAAUGUAAAAAUUGGGGAAGGACCGAACCACCGAGUGCAGCAAAACUCUUGGAUGACCUGUGGCUAGAGUUGAAAUUACCAUCGAACACGGAGAUAGCUGGUUCUCUUCGAAAUAUUUUUAGGAAUAGCCUCCAGUUACUAGCAGAAGGGGUAGAGCUCUGUUUGGGGAAGGGCGGUAAACAACCGUACCAACUCCUAGCAAACUUCGAAUACUUCUGUGAUUGUCUGGGGAGUCAGUCUGCGACAGCGAAGUGCCGUAGACGCGAGGGAAAGAGCCCAGACCACCGUCUAAGGUCCCUAAUAUUACCUGAGUGGCAAAGGAUGUAAGAUUGUUUAAACAGCCAGGAAGUUGGCUUAGAAGCAGCCACCUUUUAAAAAGUGCGUAAUAGCUUACUGGUCGAACGAUUUUGCGCCGAAAAUUCAACGGGGCAAAGGUAAUAACCGAAGAUGUGGGUGGAUCCGUUCCUCACUGUGUUUGGAAUGUAGUUAAUAGUUAUUAGUUAAUAGUUAUUAGUUAAUUGGAAUUUUUUUAAUAAAAAGUUUCUUCUUUUCUAAAAACUAAAAGCUAAAAACUAAGAACUGCUUCGAGCAUAGCGAGGAGCGGGUUCGCGAUAGAAGAGCGUUGUGGGAGCAGUGAAGCUCUGCUGUGAGGCAGUGUGGAGCGACCACAAGUGAGAAUGUUGGCAUGAGUAACUUUAAUGCGGUGAAAACCCGCAUCGUCGAACACCCCAGGUUUCCGAUCCACUGGCAGUCAAGGUCGGGUUAGUCGGUCCUAAGGCGAGGCCGAAAGGCGUAGUCGAUGGACAACAGGUUAAUAUUCCUGUACCAGAAUAAAAUGUGAUGGCGUGACGCAUUGGGAAAAUUUGUUUCCGGUUAAUGAAUUCCGGGGCAAGCGAUAAGCUUAUGGCAGAUCAGGUAAAUCCGUUCUGUUUCGCAAGUCGUUAUGCAUACUUGCUUUGUAGCGAUACAGAGCCAAAACAAUGAUUCCGGUGCCAAGAAAAGCGUCUAAACUUAAUUUUAUUCUGUCCGUACCGCAAACCAACACUGGUGGGUGGGUAGAGAAUACUCAGACGAACGAGAUAACUAAGCUUAAGGAACUCGGCAAUACAGCGUCCGUAACUUCGGGAUAAGGACUCCCUCCUACGCUUUUUGUUUCACAAAAAGCUUCGUAGGGCAAGCCCUCUCUAAUAAGACAAUAUGAGAGUUGGGGCCUGUCCUCCGUAGCUCUGAGUGGAAUGAAGAGCGUAGGAGGGCGCAGCGAAAGAUGCCAAGCAACUGUUUAUCAAAAACACAGGUCCGUGCUAACUCGUAAGAGGAUGUAUACGGGCUGACCCCUGCCCAGUGCCAGAAGGUUAAGUGGAGGCGUUCACGCGUCGAAAUGAAGCCCUGGUGAACGGCGGCCGUAACUAUAACGGUCCUAAGGUAGCGAAAUUCCUUGUCGGGUAAGUUCCGACCCGCACGAAUGGGGUAAUGAUUUGGCAACUGUCUCAAGCUUAGACUCGGUGAAAUUGCAGAAACGGUAAAAAUGCCGUUUACGCACGGUAGGACGAAAAGACCCUGUGCAGCUUUACUCCAGCUUGUCACUGAAUUUUUGUAUGUCAUAUUCAGAAUAGGUGGGAGACUCGGAAGUCUUGACGCUAGUUAAGAUGGAGUCACCUUUGAGAUACCACCUUUGAGAUGUCAGAAAUUCUUACUUGAACCGUAAUCCGGUUCGGGGACAGUGAUUGGUGGGGAGUUUGACUGGGGCGGUCGCCUCCUAAAGAGUAACGGAGGCGCGCAAUGGUUGGCUUAGAUCGGAUGGAAAUCGAUCUGGACGUGUAUUCGCAAAAGCCAGCCUGACUGUGAGACUUACAAGUCGAGCAGGGACGAAAGUCGGUGAAAAUGAUCCGGUAUCACCACGUGGGUGGGGUAUCGCUCAACGGAUAAAAGUUACGCCAGGGAUAACAGGCUAGUCGCUUCCAAGAGUUCACAUCGACGAAGCGGUUCGGCACCUCAAUCGGGGUGCGUAGUAUAGUGAUAUGCUACUAGCAAAUUGGCUUAUAACGGUGAAAUCCAUAAACCUUUCAUUGUAAAUUUUCCCAAAAAAUUUAUGAUGAAUAAAGAUAGUUAGCCCUAUUUAAUUUAUGGACAAUGCCGUGGGAAGUUUAACUGCUAAACAAAAAUCUCUUAUAAUCGGAUCGAUUUUAGGAGACGGAUAUUUAAGAAUUAUGGACGGAAGAGC